CUUCGGGGGUAGAGCACUGUUUCGGCUAGGGGGUCAUCCCGACUUACCAACCCGAUGCAAACUACGAAUACCGAAGAAUGUUAUCACGGGAGACACACGGCGGGUGCUAACGUCCGUCGUGAAGAGGGAAACAACCCAGACCGCCAGCUAAGGUCCCAAAGUCACAGUUAAGUGGGAAACGAUGUGGGAAGGCACAGACAGCCAGGAUGUUGGCUUAGAAGCAGCCAUCAUUUAAAGAAAGCGUAAUAGCUCACUGGUCGAGUCGGCCUGCGCGGAAGAUGUAACGGGGCUAAACUGUGCACCGAAGCUGCGGCAGCGACACUAUGUGUUGUUGGGUAGGGGAGCGUUCUGUAAGCCUGCGAAGGUGGCCUGUGAGGGUUGCUGGAGGUAUCAGAAGUGCGAAUGCUGACAUAAGUAACGAUAAUGCGGGUGAAAAGCCCGCACGCCGGAAGACCAAGGGUUCCUGUCCAACGUUAAUCGGGGCAGGGUGAGUCGACCCCUAAGGCGAGGCCGAAAGGCGUAGUCGAUGGGAAACAGGUUAAUAUUCCUGUACUUGGUGUUACUGCGAAGGGGGGACGGAGAAGGCUAUGUUAGCCGGGCGACGGUUGUCCCGGUUUAAGCAUGUAGGCGGAGGUUCCAGGUAAAUCCGGUACCUUUUUAACGCUGAGGUGUGAUGACGAGGCACUACGGUGCUGAAGUAACAAAUGCCCUGCUUCCAGGAAAAGCCUCUAAGCAUCAGGUAACAUUGAAUCGUACCCCAAACCGACACAGGUGGUCAGGUAGAGAAUACCAAGGCGCUUGAGAGAACUCGGGUGAAGGAACUAGGCAAAAUGGUGCCGUAACUUCGGGAGAAGGCACGCUGAUAUGUAGGUGAAGCCCCUGCGGGUGGAGCUGAAAUCAGUCGAAGAUACCAGCUGGCUGCAACUGUUUAUUAAAAACACAGCACUGUGCAAACACGAAAGUGGACGUAUACGGUGUGACGCCUGCCCGGUGCCGGAAGGUUAAUUGAUGGGGUUAUCCGUAAGGAGAAGCUCUUGAUCGAAGCCCCGGUAAACGGCGGCCGUAACUAUAACGGUCCUAAGGUAGCGAAAUUCCUUGUCGGGUAAGUUCCGACCUGCACGAAUGGCGUAAUGAUGGCCAGGCUGUCUCCACCCGAGACUCAGUGAAAUUGAACUCGCUGUGAAGAUGCAGUGUACCCGCGGCAAGACGGAAAGACCCCGUGAACCUUUACUAUAGCUUGACACUGAACAUUGAGCCUUGAUGUGUAGGAUAGGUGGGAGGCUUUGAAGCGUGGACGCCAGUCUGCGUGGAGCCAACCUUGAAAUACCACCCUUUAAUGUUUGAUGUUCUAACGUUGGCCCCUUAUCGGGGUUGCGGACAGUGUCUGGUGGGUAGUUUGACUGGGGCGGUCUCCUCCCAAAGAGUAACGGAGGAGCACGAAGGUUAGCUAAUCCUGGUCGGACAUCAGGAGGUUAGUGCAAUGGCAUAAGCUAGCUUGACUGCGAGCGUGACGGCGCGAGCAGGUGCGAAAGCAGGUCAUAGUGAUCCGGUGGUUCUGAAUGGAAGGGCCAUCGCUCAACGGAUAAAAGGUACUCCGGGGAUAACAGGCUGAUACCGCCCAAGAGUUCAUAUCGACGGCGGUGUUUGGCACCUCGAUGUCGGCUCAUCACAUCCUGGGGCUGAAGUAGGUCCCAAGGGUAUGGCUGUUCGCCAUUUAAAGUGGUACGCGAGCUGGGUUUAGAACGUCGUGAGACAGUUCGGUCCCUAUCUGCCGUGGGCGCUGGAGAAUUGAGGGGGGCUGCUCCUAGUACGAGAGGACCGGAGUGGACGCAUCACUGGUGUUCGGGUUGUCAUGCCAAUGGCAUUGCCCGGUAGCUAAAUGCGGAAGAGAUAAGUGCUGAAAGCAUCUAAGCACGAAACUUGCCCCGAGAUGAGUUCUCCCUGACUCCUUGAGAGUCCUGAAGGAACGUUAAAGACGAUGACGUUGAUAGGUCGGGUGUGUAAGCGUAGCGAUACGUUGAGCUAACCGAUACUAAUGAACCGUGAGGCUUAACCUU
rnacentral:rRNA from 1 species